rnacentral:tmRNA from 1 species
GAGCGGCGGCCCUGAACCGCCCAACAACGGGAAAACAAUAAGAACUGACAACUACAACACUGUAGCCGUCGCGGCUUAGUCCGCGGCCGUCGGCCCUGAGCCUCCUGCGGCGCAGGCAACCGGCGUCAUAAAUGCAGGGAACCAGCCCGCAUAAGCUUUGCCGCGGGUGGGAUUGAUGAAGCUACUGAAGCCGGAACCCUGUCUGCGGGGGUUCGGCGGAGGGAAUGUCAAAACACAGACUGCGCUCGGAGAAAAUCUGGUUGUCUGAUCUUCGGACAGGGGUUCGACCCCCCUCGCCUCCACCA